rnacentral:rRNA from 1 species
AUUGAACGCUGGCGUCAGGCCUAACACAUGCAAGUAGAACGAGUGGCGGACGGGUGAGUAAUGUCUGGGAAACUGCCUGAUGGAGGGGGAUAACUACUGGAAACGGUAGCUAAUACCGCAUACCAUCAGAUGUGCCCAGAUGGGGUUAGCUUGUUGGGGGGGUAACUGCUCACCAAGGCGACGAUCCCUAGCUGGUCUGAGAGGAUGACCAUCCACACUGGAACUGAUACACGGUCCAGGCUCCUACGUGAGGCAGCAGUGGGGAAUAUUGCACAAUUGGCGCUAGCCUGAUGCAGCCAUGCCGCGUGUAUGAAGAAGGCCUUCGGGUUGUAAAGUACUUUCAGCGGGGAGGAGUUACCCGCAGAAGAAGCACCGGCUAACUCCGUGCCAGCCGCCGCGGUAAUAC